ensembl:lncRNA
UUUUUUUUAAUUUUAAUUAUUAUUAUUAGCAAGUGGGAGAAAAGAAGCUUCUAAUAGCGGGAUGCGGCCGGGGCGCGGGUGGGCGUGAGGGCCCUGGCCGCCAUUGGGCCUUGGGCUUAGCAACAGCGCGGGAAGGGCCAACCCCAGCGCUUGCACGGCCGGGCCACCUGCCAAGGAUGGGUGCCAAACGCUGCGCUCCUCUGCCAAGAAAACAAACAAGGGCACUUUUAAAAACCCACAGUUAAACAGCGUGGGGUUUUCUUUCUCCCCCCUCCCUUUCUGUUCUCUCCUCCGCAAACUCUCCUUGCGCAGAGUUAAUGAUCCCUUUCCCUUUGUCGCAGAAGUUCAAGCUAGGGGGAAUUGUUGCUUGUGGAGGUUUCAGGAGUUGUUUCCCCUCUCCUGGAUGUGGCAGGCUCCCGUCUCUGCAGGCUGCAGCAGGCGCUGGAGUCAGUCCUCUCUCUUCAGAUGCUGCAGGUUCCCUCCUUCCUUCCCUCCCUCCCGGCAGGAAUCUCUGCCGCCUGCGCUAGCACUGAAGCCUGCUUGCCACUGCCACGCGUUUAUGGAACUUACAUAAUUUACUGCCUAUGUCACUCUCUCGUCUGCUACCUCUUCAUUCAUUUCAAGCCUGUUAAAGAAGUGGAAUAAGAAGCACAGAGAUUUAAAUAGGCAAAAAGUGGCUUGUAGCCACAAACCAUUUUUUUUUUUCUGCAGAGGAAAAAGAAAGAAUUUGGGAAUUCUGGUCUCAUUCUAUUAAAGAUAUAUUUUUACAUUAUAUUUUUAGUGCAGUCUUUCUUACAUAUUAGUCUUUGUGAUUGCUGAAUUUGGGGUAGCGCCAAAAUUUUGCUGAGAAGAAAUAUGAACUAUGUUUUUUUACCAGCUGAGAAACAUGCAGGUCCUUACUGUAUCCCAAAAUCUCUUCUUUCCCUGUGAAGGAGUAAAGCAGAGAAGUCAAAACCCAUUUCCAAGAAACACCAACUCUCUUCAGGUCCCCGUGGCUUAGCGCCUGCCCAGAGAGAGUGCUCGCCUUGGAUCCUGAUGUGAAGCACUAAAUGAAGAAAAUGGGACUGACUUUUCUGUUGCUGUGGUUGUUGUUGCUAUAAGACACUCCGUAGGAGGUGAAGCCAAACAUACCUCUGGGGAAAUAUUAAACACUUCACAGAGAAAGGCCUAAAGAGGCAAAUAUUGCAGCCCUUUUCUCACGCCAGUCAUCCCAUUAACUUCAGAGACACUGCUCCUCUGAGUGAGGCUGGUGGGGUCAGGCCUUCAUACACAGUAGCACCUCCAAAGGUUAAAGGAUGUCAUUUGCAGUCAUGAUCUUGUUUCACUUCCUACCUCUACCUCUGAUUUACUGAGAAACCUCAAAUAAAUCACUUAACCUCUCUAAGAAGGAGUUUACUUAAGUGCAAGAACAUUCUGGGCCUCCAACAAUAUUUGUGAAGUUCUUUCAGGUCCUUGGAGGAAAGAUGUACUUGCAAAUUAUCAGGGUAGCUGCUUACAUGGAAAUAAAUCUCAGUUUCUGUGUCUAAGCAUAUGUCCCAGCUGCAUCCCAAUCUCAUGUCUCAUAACUGUUGUUAUAAACCAUAAUCUACUGGGAUUUAAUAGGGAAAAUAUGCAGGAGAGCAGCUUGAAAGGGCAUCUCACUCAGGUGCAAGCAGGUCCUUGGUUCCAGAAAGCUGGGUUUUGGACCUCAUGUAUGGCACAUUUCAUCCCCAAAAACUUGAAUCUGAUGUAUUGAGGAGUGUGUUUCUGCAGCUGCAUUCUUAAACUGAACUGCAGUUCACUGAUGUGGUACCCAUGCUCCAUGCACUAUUUGCUUUCUCAAAUUGCUCAAACAUCUGUUAUUGCAAAAAAAAAAAAAAAAAAAA